AUUGAACGCUGGCGGCAGGCCUAACACAUGCAAGUCGAGCGAGCGGCGGACGGGCGAGCAAUGUAUGGGGAUCUGCCUGAUAGAGGGGGAUAACUACUGGAAACCGUGGCUACUACCGCAUACUCCCGUAUGAACCCAUACGGGAUUAGCUAGUCGGUGGGGUAAAGGCUCACCUAGGCGACGAUCCCUAGCUGGUCUGAGAGGAUGAUCAGCCACACUGGGACUGAGACACGGCCCAGACUCCUACGGGAGGCAGCAGUGGGGAAUAUUGCACAAUGGACGAAAGCCUGAUGCAGCCACGCCGCGUGUGUGAAGAAGGUCUUCGGGUUGUAAAGUACUGUCAGCGGAGAGGCGUUACCCGCAGAAGAAGCACCGGCUAACUCCGUGCCAGCAGCCGCGGUAAUUC
rnacentral:rRNA from 1 species